rnacentral:sRNA from 1 species
AACGCUGUGAUCAGGAUGCGGUGGGAGCUCCGUCUUGGGUGAUCCUCAUGAGGGCAUUUUUCAGUGAGCUUUGAAAUUCUUCAUUUUUUUUUUUUAGUUACUCCUUGGUGCUAGGGAAUCUGCCUUUUAAGGAACUGUAUGUAAUUACUGUAUUUGUCGGGAGGAAGCGCUGAAACAACACAAAACCCUAUCUCAAGAACUUGUUAACCUCCGGGGAGAGCUAGCUUGACCUUCAGUUCACAGAAUUCCUGGCACUGAUCUGACUAAGCCUAGCAGAACUUCUGAUGAGCAAAACGUUUCUCUUGCUGAAGAGAGGGACAGAAUUAUUUUUGUAAUUGUGUGAAUUCCUGUUAAAUAAUGUUGUCAUUUUUUUUUUUCUGAACCACUUUUCGUAUGAGAAUAGUGAAAGUUUCCCCUGUUGAUAAACAGUAAAUCCUUUGUACUUCCAAGGGUUGGUUUGUGAGCAGUGAGUAUGAAGUUGAAAGGAUGCUGUGCAUUAGGGCAUCCUGGCUGAAAAAGGCACGUUCUAUGCCAAUCUUACUAUUUGGAGGGGGGCUGAUGGUGCACAAACUCC